rnacentral:rRNA from 1 species
UACGAAGGGGCUAGCGUUGUUCGGAAUCACUGGGCGUAAAGGGCGCGUAGGCGGCCGAUCAAGUCGGGGGUGAAAGCCUGUGGCUCAACCACAGAAUUGCCUUCGAUACUGUUUGGCUUGAGACCGGAAGAGGUUAGUGGAACUGCGAGUGUAGGAGGUGAAAUUCGUAGAAUAUUCGCAAGAACACCAGUGGCGAAGGCGGCUGACUGGUCCGGUUCU